GGGCAAUUAGCUCAGCGGUUAGAGCGCUGCAUUCACAUUGCAGAAGUCGGUGGUUCGAAUCCACCAUUGCCCA
rnacentral:tRNA from 1 species